AGUUGCUGCUUCAUGCACAAGCA
rnacentral:miRNA from 8 species